rnacentral:rRNA from 1 species
GUGCCAGCAGCCGCGGUAAUACGUAGGGUGCUAGCGUUGUUCGGAAUCAUUGGGCGUAAAGCGCGUGUAGGUUGCUAUGUAAGUCGAAUGUGAAAUCCCUGGGCUCAACCGAGGAAGUGCAUUCGAAACUACAUAGCUCGAGAACGGUAGAGGAAGGUGGAAUUCCAAGUGUAGAGGUGAAAUUCGUAGAUAUUUGGAGGAAUACCGGUGGCGAAGGCGGCCUUCUGGGCCGGUUCUGACACUGAGACGCGAAAGCGUGGGUAGCAAACAGGAUUAGAAACCCCAGUAGUCC